GACGAACGCUGGCGGCGUGCUUAACACAUGCAAGUCGAACGGAAAGGCCCUGCUUGCAGGGUGCUCGAGUGGCGAACGGGUGAGUAACACGUGGGUGAUCUGCCCCUUACUUUGGGAUAAGCCUGGGAAACUGGGUCUAAUACUGGAUAGGACCAUGCUGUAGGUGGUGUGGUGGAAAGAUUAGUUUCGGUAAGGGAUGAGCUCGCGGCCUAUCAGCUUGUUGGUGGAGUAAUGGCCUACCAAGGCGUCGACGGGUAGCCGGCCUGAGAGGGUGGACGGCCACAUUGGGACUGAGAUACGGCCCAGACUCCUACGGGAGGCAGCAGUGGGGAAUAUUGCACAAUGGGCGCAAGCCUGAUGCAGCGACGCCGCGUGGGGGAUGACGGCCUUCGGGUUGUAAACUCCUUUCAGCCAUGACGAAGCCCUUGUGGUGACGGUAGUGGUAGAAGAAGCACCGGCUAACUACGUG
rnacentral:rRNA from 1 species